UGGGGAAUAUUGCACAAUGGGCGCAAGCCUGAUGCAGCCAUGCCGCGUGUGUGAAGAAGGCCUUCGGGUUGUAAAGCACUUUCAGCGGGGAGGAAGGCGGUGAGGUUAAUAACCUCAUCGAUUGACGUUACCCGCAGAAGAAGCACCGGCUAACUCCGUGCCAGCAGCCGCGGUAAUACGGAGGGUGCAAGCGUUAAUCGGAAUUACUGGGCGUAAAGCGCACGCAGGCGGUCUGUCAAGUCGGAUGUGAAAUCCCCGGGCUCAACCAGGGAACUGCAUUCGAAACUGGCAGGCUAGAGUCUUGUAGAGGGGGGUAGAAUUCCAGGUGUAGCGGUGAAAUGCGUAGAGAUCUGGAGGAAUACCGGUGGCGAAGGCGGCCCCCUGGACAAAGACUGACGCUCAGGUGCGAAAGCGUGGGGAGCAAACAGG
rnacentral:rRNA from 1 species